GGUAGCUGCUGCUGUUCAGCUUAAGGCUAAUCUGACCUUCUAUAACAGGAGUUCAAGUCCCAGAAAUCCCUGGUCCUCCAUCAGAGAUACACAUGUUGGAAUUCAUCAAGAAAACAACCUGACCCAUGGAGAAUGGAGAAAAGCAGGGCAGGACAACCGCCCACACGGGAGAAACAUGGAGCCAGGGGAACCUCCCCAUCCAGGGAAGCCGUGAGUGAAUGAGCGACCCUGCGGACCAAUGCUUCUCCCAUGGAUCGUUGCUACUCUUGGGUCAGGAGAUCCCCUCAUGAACCCACUCCACUAGGGCCUUCAGUCAGAUACACAGAGCUAUGGGGAGUCUUGGCAGAGCAGCCGCUCAGGUACACACGGAGCCCCAGGAGCCUUAGAUAUCCUGGCUUCCUGGCAAAAGUAACUGCUACUCCAGCAAAGUGGGAGGUUAGACCCCCAUACCUACUCCUAUGAAAGGGGCUGAAU
rnacentral:lncRNA from 1 species